UGAGGAAUAUUGGGCAAUGCCCGCAAGGGUGACCCAGCAACGCCGCGUGGAGGAUGAAUGUCGUAAGAUUGUAAACUCCUGUUAGAGGGGAAGAAUAGUACCGGUUGGACCGGUAUAUGACUGUACCCUCAGAGAAAGCCCCGGCUAACUACGUGCCAGCAGCCGCGGUAAUACGUAGGGGGCAAGCGUUGUCCGGAUUUCCUGGGUGUAAAGGGCGCGCAGGCGGGAUAAAAAGUCAGUGGUGAAAUCCUACAGCUUAACUGUAGAACUGCCUUUGAUACUUUUAUUCUUGAGUUCGGGAGAGAGAGACGGAAUUCCAGGUGUAGUGGUGAAAUACGUAGAUAUCUGGAAGAACACCAGUUGCGAAGGCGGUCUCUUGGUCCGACACUGACGCUGAGGCGCGAAAGCGUGGGGAGCAAACA
rnacentral:rRNA from 1 species